CACCCCAAACACAACUUUUAUGUAAUGGGAAUCCUAAACAAAUAUGCUAUUUUUUUCUUGGUUUUACCCAGAAUGAUUACUAAAACAUUUUUUGAGAUAUUGCAGGAUGUAAUGGUUUAGUUAGCAUGUGUGUGUGUGUUCUUGUCUUUGUUUUUCACUUUCAUGUCUUUUAUUUUGGAGUUACAAUCUUGUCAUGUCUUUUAUUUUGAAGAUUCUUUUUUUUUCUGUAUUAUUGUUUCCACUUUACAAAUUACUCUUGUCUUUAGGCCUGGUAGUGGAUUAUACUGAACAUUUGAAUGAGAUUCUCUCCCAUACAUUGCGUCCUACUGGAAUGGCCAGUUUGCCGACAUUCCAUGGAAGAAAGUGUUGUCAUCUAAAUAUUUAACCAAUAAGUGACCUGGUCAGUGGUGGCUACGUUUUAUAUGAUGUGACAGAAAAAGAUGACCAAUAUGUGAGGCGACUCUCUCUAUCCUGAAAAACAUCCCUCAGGACCAUUGACUGUCUGUUGAGGUUAUUGUAAGUUUUGGGGCUUUAUUACGUUAGAUGGCCGACAAUUGACCAACAAUAAGCUGAACAAUUGUGAGCUUAUAAAAAAAAAAGUAUUAGAUAUAUAUUGCAACUCUCAUCACCUUGUACAAUGUCUUGGUUAUGAGAGGAAGUUUCAGAGUUUCUAAAACUUGCCACUGUAAUAAAAAGAAAGGUUUUUUUUGUUUGUUUGUUUAAUGUACUGAGAGCUUUAUUCAUCAUAUUGAUUAAUAUUAUGAACACGAGAGGCACGUGAAUAUGAACUUCUGACAUGUUUAUGAUUGAUGUCCAUUCAAAAUACCUAUAGGCCUUAAUGUUUACUUAAAAAGUUUGGCUUUAGGCCAUGCAUGGCUAACCAUAGUCAUAUAUCAUGCAGUUGAUGUGUAGUUUCCAUAUAUGUAGGUAUUUAUUUGUGCACUAUGUACCGAAUGGUCCUUAAAUGUGCAGCACGCCACAAUUGUAAAGCCAAUCUUUUUGAGAACAUGAGAAAGAGGAUGCCUGUAACAAAUGUUCUGAGUAGUUAUGGUGUUUUGUGUGUAUUUUAAAGCCCACAUGUCUCAAGUGAAGCAGUCAAGUGGCAUGGAAAUCCAGUUAAAGCUACAUUAGGCAAGUGCUAUUCACACAGACACACUCACAACACAAAAACACAUGCAAAUCCACUCAUAAUGGCUACAUAAUGGAAAUUGUAGUAUGUCGCCACAAAAACUAGCCUACUGUGAAUGGCCACAAUGACUUGCACAAACAUGCAAAUCCUGUUGGUCUGUGUAAAGACGGCAGUAUAAGCCCCUUUCUCGUUCACAAUAACAUUUGGUGAUAUUAUGUCGGAAUCCUGUUAUCACACAUCAAUAGAGAAGGACCACAAGCGGGGGAGCCCUUCAGGACAAAAAAACAACAGCUUCAAACGGCUGUCGAGAAUGUAUGCGUGUGCUCGUCCAACAGUCUUUGAAAAAUAAAGACUCACUGAUGAAAGACAAGCCCACACUCUGAAUAGGUUAACGUAGCAAUGAGACUCAAUUAGCUGGAUUGCUAAAUCGAGCCGUGUCCACAAAAACAACACUCGAGUUGUGACCAAGACUACGAUAGACUGGUACGUACAAUGAAAACGCUUUUGUUUCUUCCUCCCUUCUGUCUUAUCCUUCUAAAUGAGCUGGGAACAUAUUUUGACACAAAAAGACACCGAGAGACUUUUCAAGAUGCAGAGGAUGCAACCAGCCUCUUUUGUGGUGGAUUAGUAUGUGUUAGAGAAAAUUAGCAUUCGCACGUUUCUCUAGCAUGACACACGCUUGUACGCAUUCAGCUCGCCCAGCUGUCUCCCUUCAGUAUGCCAGCACGACCCGCUGGUCCCCGUGUGUGGACAAUGCCCUCACACCAUAAUUAGCUCUGCCAGUCAAGUGUCUCAAAUUGGAUUAUCCGCAGUUCUUUUGGGGUUUCUUCAUAUCAGAGGAAUUCACCACAUAAAGCUCCAGAUUGAGAGAGUCUCGGAGGGUCCUGUGAGAGGGCCCAAAUGGUACAAUGUUCAGGCCAUAGCCCCACGGUUUUCCACCCACCAGGGUGCCCCCAUAAACCAGACAAUUGCAUUAUUCUCACUAAGUAGCGUGGUGGGAUAAACACAAAUGGCCAUGCCUUAGAUUUGUGGGCUGCUGGUUUUUGCCACAAGAGAAAGACUGAUGAGAGAGUACUUGAGGAGACAAUUAUUGAUCACUAUCUUUGUCAGCACCACGGCGACCCGAUUCGAAAGCCUCAGUGUGAUAAUCCAUUGUUUCUGUCAUAAACUUAUGGAACAAGCAUAUUUUGGUUUUGUUUGAAGGAGGCUGAAAUGAAAUGUUGGCAUAAUAAAGUAGUUUUCUCGGGUUUUGUUUACUCAGCUACAUACCAGCACAAAUAUACAAAGAAUGAGAGAUGGAAGAAAUGAAUCCAAAUGUGGAUAAUCAACUUGUGUUUUUUGCUGCAAGACAAAUCAAAUUGAGAUGUUUUUUUAGAAAUAAAAUCAAUGUGUUUAUACUUUAUUCUUUUUAGUGUAUUCAUUUUCUUUACAACAAAACAAACCAUUUAGUGAUGCUCAAGUAAUUAGAACUUGCUGCAUUGCUUAGCACUGUUCUUGAAUGUCUUGUAUAAUAGAAUGAAGGUAUUUUAAUAGCUUUGGCCACAGCAUACUGUACUGUUUAUGUAAAUGUAAUUAGUAGGCACUUAGUAAAACUAAUGAACACAACACGCUUUUAUAAGGAAACAUCAUUCUUUUAUUUAUUUAUUUAUUUUUCUCUGUUUUUUUAGAAUGUCAGCAUUAAUGUCAAAUAUUAUUGGCUUGAGUUACUUUGUGGCUGAUUGUUGUCUUGUUUUUUAAUAACUUUAAAGUAAAGUUUGAAAUGAAAAGAAUACAAAUAAAUUUUUUUAUUUAUAAGGUUUGGGAUCAAUAAGACUUUUUUAUCCAUUAAGACACAUUAAUUUGGUUAGUAAAUACAUAACAAAACAGACAUUUUCUAUUUCAAAUGAAUCCACAAACUUUUUUUUUUUUUUUGCUUUAGUUAUGCUGUUCUGUUAGAUCGGAAUCAGUUACAAGAUAAAUUAUGCCUUAAAGAGUUGGUCACGCUAAAUGAAUUAGGCCGUAUUUGAAUUAAAUGCUUCAAGUGACCAAUUCAGAUUUUUUUUCUCUUAUGUGGCACAGAUCGGAUAUGUCCCAUGAACUUGUAACCAGGAAAAAAACAAAACAAAUUGAUUCUGAUAUUCUCAGAUGGGUUUCAGGCCUCAUUCAUACAUGGAAAUAAAUCUGAUAUGAUUCGGAUAUAUGCAUUUGCCAUGUAUGCCAUGUAAGCGGACAGAUCAGAUAUUCCCGUCAAUGCAAGUUGUGCAUCAUUGAAAAUGUUGACUCAGUUGGACACCAAACGCGACCACAUGAC